rnacentral:rRNA from 1 species
UUCGCCCUUAGAGUUUGAUCUGGCUCAGGACGAACGCUGGCGGCGUGCCUAACACAUGCAAGUCGAACGGGACUGGUUGGAACAAGACUUCGGUCAAGGGAAUUCCAGUUUAGUGGCGAACGGGUGAGUAACGCGUGAGCAAUCUGCCCUUCAGAGGGGGACAACAGUUGGAAACGACUGCUAAUACCGCACGACAUCUUCGGAAGGCAUCUUUUGAAGAUCAAAGAUUUAUCGCUGAAGGAUGAGCUCGCGUCUGAUUAGAUAGUUGGUGGGGUAACGGCCUACCAAGUCGACGAUCAGUAGCCGGACUGAGAGGUUGAACGGCCACAUUGGGACUGAGAUACGGCCCAGACUCCUACGGGAGGCAGCAGUGGGGAAUAUUGGGCAAUGGGGGAAACCCUGACCCAGCAACGCCGCGUGAAGGAAGAAGGCUUUCGGGUUGUAAACUUCUUUUAUCAGGGACGAUAGUGACGGUACCUGAUGAAUAAGCCACGGCUAACUACGUGCCCGCAGCCGCGGUAAUACGUAGGUGGCAAGCGUUGUCCGGAUUUUUAUGGGUGUAAAGGGGCGCGUAGGCGGGGACGCCAAUUCAGAUGUGAAAUGCCGGGGCUUACCCCCGGGGCUGCAUUUGAAACUGUAGUUCUGGAGUUUCGGGGAGGCAGGCGGAAAUUCCUAGUGUAGCGGUGAAAUGCGUAGAUAUUAGGAGGAACCCCAGUGGCGAAGGGCGGCCUGCUGGACGACAACUGACGCUGAGGCGCGAAAGCGUGGGGAGCAAACAGGAUUAGAUUACCCUGGUAGUCCACGCUGUAAACGAUGAAUACUAGGUGUGGGGGGACUGACCCCCUCCGUGCCGCAGUUAACACAAUAAGUAUUCCACCUGGGGAGUACGGCCGCAAGGUUGAAACUCAAAGGAAUUGACGGGGGCCCGCACAAGCAGUGGAUUAUGUGGUUUAAUUCGAAGCAACGCGAAGAACCUUACCAGGGCUUGACAUCCAACUAACGAAGUAGAGAUACAUUAGGUGCCCUUCGGGGAAAGUUGAGACAGGUGGUGCAUGGUUGUCGUCAGCUCGUGUCGUGAGAUGUUGGGUUAAGUCCCAUAACGAGCGCAACCCCUAUUGCUAGUUGCUACGCAAGAGCACUCUAGCGAGACUGCCGUUGACAAAACGGAGGAAGGUGGGGACGACGUCAAAUCAUCAUGCCCCUUAUGUCCUGGGCUACACACGUAAUACAAUGGCGUUAAACAGAGGGAAGCAAAGCCGCGAGGUGGAGCAAAUCCCUAAAAGGCGUCUCAGUUCGGAUUGCAGGCUGCAACUCGCCUGCAUGAAGUCGGAAUUGCUAGUAAUCGCGGAUCAGCAUGCCGCGGUGAAUACGUUCCCGGGCCUUGCACUCACCGCCCGUCA